rnacentral:rRNA from 1 species
UACGGGGGGAGCAAGCGUUGUUCGGAUUUACUGGGCGUAAAGGGCGCGUAGGCGGUCGUGACAAGUCACUUGUGAAAUCUCCGGGCUUAACUCGGAACGGUCAAGUGAUACUGUCGGACUAGAGUACAGAAGGGGCAACUGGAAUUCUCGGUGUAGCGGUGAAAUGCGUAGAUAUCGAGAGGAACACCUGCGGCGAAGGCGGGUUGCUGGGCUGAUACUGACGCUGAGGCGCGGAAAGCUAGGGGAGCGAACGGG